GACGAACGCUGGCGGCGUGCUUAACACAUGCAAGUCGAACGGAAAGGCCCUGCUUUUGUGGGGUGCUCGAGUGGCGAACGGGUGAGCAACACGUGAGUAACCUGCCCUUGACUUUGGGAUAACUUCAGGAAACUGGGGCUAAUACCGGAUAGGAGCUCCUGCUGCAUGGUGGGGGUUGGAAAGUUUCGGCGGUUGGGGAUGGACUCGCGGCUUAUCAGCUUGUUGGUGGGGUAGUGGCUUACCAAGGCUUUGACGGGUAGCCGGCCUGAGAGGGUGACCGGCCACAUUGGGACUGAGAUACGGCCCAGACUCCUACGGGAGGCAGCAGGGGGGAAUAUUGCACAAUGGGCGGAAGCCUGAUGCAGCAACGCCGCGUGCGGGAUGACGGCCUUCGGGUUGUAAACCGCUUUCGCCUGGGACGAAGCGUGAGUGACGGUAAUGGGUAAAGAAGCACCGGCUAACUACGUG
rnacentral:rRNA from 1 species